GACGAACGCUGGCGGCGUGCCUAAUACAUGCAAGUUGUGCGCUGAAGGUUGGUACUUGUACCAACUGGAUGAGCAGCGAACGGGUGAGUAACGCGUGGGGAAUCUGCCUUUGAGCGGGGGACAACAUUUGGAAACGAAUGCUAAUACCGCAUAAAAACUUUAAACACAAGUUUUAAGUUUGAAAGAUGCAAUUGCAUCACUCAAAGAUGAUCCCGCGUUGUAUUAGCUAGUUGGUGAGGUAAAGGCUCACCAAGGCGAUGAUACAUAGCCGACCUGAGAGGGUGAUCGGCCACAUUGGGACUGAGACACGGCCCAAACUCCUACGGGAGGCAGCAGUAGGGAAUCUUCGGCAAUGGACGAAAGUCUGACCGAGCAACACCGCGUGAGUGAAGAAGGUUUUCGGAUCGUAAAACUCUGUUGGUAGAGAAGAACGUUGGUGAGAGUGGAAAGCUCAUCAAGUGACGGUAACUACCCAGAAAGGGACGGCUAACUACGUG
rnacentral:rRNA from 1 species